GGAAGGAUCAUUAACACGUAUCCAACGUUUAACCACCCCGUGCACCUUCACUGAAACCCUACGUUAACACGAAUUGCCUGGCGGAAUAACGAUUCGGGAUCAUAACUUCACACGAGGUGCUGAAGAUGGACCUGGGAGAUCUUGAGAAGCGCGUUACAAAUCUGCUGUUUGGAACGGAAGGGUCCUGAAGCUAGGCGCGUUUCCAUGUGUCUUCGGGAAAGUCGGUAACGCUGAAGAGAUAUUCAACAAGACCACACCUAGGGUAACACCGGGGUCCGCCUUAAAAACACCGCAUGGGAACAACAAGGUCCCUUGGCUUGGCGAGGUGUCUUCACGAAAAUCUCUUUGGCGUAGAGCUAUGGGUGCCCUGGCAGGCGCAACCGAAGGAACCUAAGGGAUGGGGACUACCGAGAAUGCACUUUAGCGGGUGUGUUUUUGGCGGACCUUGAUUUCUUGACUUCGCGUCUCGUAUCCAGGUUGCCGUAGACUUCACCUUUGGUGGUUGUAGAGUACGAAUUGUUUACUCGCAAGUUUCGGGUUGGCGUAUCCCCGCGUGUCUGGCCCACCGCGGAACAACCUCACUAACCCAACCCACCGAUGCGCCGGAUCCUCGCGGGUUCAGGCGUCGGAAACCCCGAACAACUGUUAGCAAUGGAUAUCUUGGCUCUCGCAACGAUGAAGAACGCAGCGAAAUGCGAUACGUAAUGCGAAUUGCAGAAUUCAGUGAAUCAUCGAAUCUUUGAACGCAAAUUGCGCUCUCGGGAUACCCCUGAGAGCACACCUCGCUGACUAUCGGUUUCAAACACCUAACCUCACCUUGUGUGUUGGUAAAAACAGUUGAGCGUUAUGCUGUGCAUCCCUCCGCCGGGGACACGGCUUAUCGCUUUAAAAUCAUUCAUUCAGCUCAUUGAAUGACUUCUUGCAAGUUGGGUUCACUUCGGUGAAGAAGAUUUACAAGGGGUCAUUUCGACGUCGAGCAAACAUCGCGGAAAGGGCAAUCAUAAUGAAAGCAGCGGUUUGACUGGAGUAAGUUAAGGAUCGCUUUCGGGUGGUCUUUGGGGAAAGCUGAGGAUCAUCUUUCGAGGUGGUCUUUGGGGAAAGCUGAGGAUCAUCUUUGGGGUGGUUCUUGGGGACUUCUGGGGACUGCCCUCACGGGUGGACCUUGGCGGACUCUGGGGAUUGCCUUGGGGAUGGACUUUGGUGGACUCUGAGGAUUGCCUUAAUUGGUGGACCUUGGUGGACUCUGAGGAAUGCCUUCGGGUGGACCUUGGUUAGGCUCUGGACGAAUAGCAGUGGACGUUGUGGUUUGUGCUUCUGUGACGUGAUUUGAACGGGGAGUUGGGCGAGAAUAACGCGCGGAACGGCGACCAGGUGUCUCACACGCACCUAGUAUAGUGGUUCUGUACGGGUCUCGUCGGGACGCUCCGAUUGAAUCAGCUCGAAGUUGACCUUGACGCUUCGAGUGCUGGAAUAGACAAAAGCCCGUGGGUUUUGCUGGAGAUGGAGAGGGAGGGAGAUGUAACAAUUUUCCUUGCUCUUUUUUUUUGGCUUUGCUCACACCCCCUUUCUGAAUCAGAUGUCAGCUGAAGUGAGAAUACCCCCUGAAUUUAAGCAUAUUACUAAGGGGAGGAAAAGAAACUAACAAGGAUUCCCCUAGUAACGGCGAGUGAAGCGGGAAGAGCUCAAACUUGAAAUCCGUGGGUGUAACAACUCAUGGAGAUGUAGUCUGGAGACGCUCUCUCAGUGCGAGACCGGCUAUAAGUCCCUUGGAAUGGGGCAUCAUAGAGGGUGAGAAUCCCGUUUAUGAGCUGGAUCUCUGUGCGUACGAGGAGCGUUCCGAGAGUCGCGUUGCUUGGGAGUGCAGCGCAAAUUGGGUGGUAAAGUUCAUCUAAAGCUAAAUACCGGCGAGAGACCGAUAGCGAACAAGUACCGUGAGGGAAAGAUGAAAAGAACUUUGAAAAGAGAGUUAAAUAGUACUUGAAAUUGUUAACAGGUAAGGGCAGGAAACCAGUAAUUCUUGGGCUUACUUGCGGUCGCUUCACGGCAGCCGUUAUUUAGGCUCGGGAGAGUCAUCAUCAGUUAGAAUCGUUGGAGAAAGCGCGGAUGGUGGUGCUUCGGCUCUGUCGCGGCACACCGCUGCGUCCUACAUUGGUUCUGACUGAGGAACGAAAACCCGCACGCUUCGGCGUACGGCACGCUGUGGCCUGUUUGCCCUAGCGCGUGAGAGACCAAAGGUCUGUCUGUGCAAAAGGUGAAUACUGCUGCGGAUGUGUCAGUUGCUGGGUUCGCGAUGAUGACGAAAUGGUUUUCUUCCACCCGUCUUGAAACACGGACCAAGGAGUCUAACAUCUAUGCGAGUAUUUGGGUGGCAAACCCUGAUGCGCAAUGAAAGUAAAGCGGUCCUUGUGGCCGUGAGGUAGGAAUCUUACCUUCGGGUGGGAGGCACUAUCGACCGAUCGUUCGCUUGCGAAAGAUUUGAGUAAGAGCAUAGCUGUUGGGACCCGAAAGAUGGUGAUCUAUGCCUGAACAGGGUGAAGCCAGGGGAAACUCUGGUGGAAGCUCGUAGCGAUACUGACGUGCAAAUCGUUCGUCUGAUUUGGGUAUAGGGGCGAAAGACUAAUCGAACCAUCUAGUAGCUGGUUCCCUC
rnacentral:misc_RNA from 1 species